rnacentral:miRNA from 1 species
UGCCAUAGCCGCGCAUCACCUCUCCAACCGGGAGAGGGUCGCGGGGGCUUCUUGCCCCACGCGCGCUCUCCCGGCUGGAGAGGUGACGCGUGGCU